GUGUGAGGGUCUUCUGCUGCACAAUACUCACCAGGUGAGGCAUCAGGAGGUCCACUGAGUAUACGAAAGCAGCACCGAGGGUAAAGCCAAUAGCCACGGGGAAGAAGGCAAA